CCCUUAGAUGUUCUGGGCCGCACGCGUGCUACACUGAGUGGAUCAGCGGGUCAGGUUGCGCGAAAGCGUUUCCUAAUCUUUAAAUCCGCUCGUGAUGGGGAUUGACGGUUGCAAUUUUCUGUCAUGAACGAGGAAUACCAUGUAAGCGCGGGUCAUCAUCCCGCGCUGAAUACGUCCCUGCCCUUUGUACACACCGCCCGUCGCUCCUACCGAUUGAGUGGUCCGGUGAGGCUUUGGGAUCUGAGCGGAAAGAGCGUUUCGCUGUUUCUGCUCGGAAAACUCAGUCGAACCUUAUCAUUUAGAGGAAGGAGAAGUCGUAACA
rnacentral:rRNA from 1 species